GACGAACGCUGGCGGCGUGCCUAAUACAUGCAAGUCGAGCGGACAGAAGGGAGCUUGCUCCCGGAAGUUAGCGGCGGACGGGUGAGUAACACGUGGGCAACCUACCCUGUAGAUCGGGAUAACAUCGAGAAAUCGGUGCUAAUACCGGAUAAUCAUUUGAAGUGCAUGCUUCGAAUGUAAAAGAUGGCUCCGGCUAUCACUACGGGAUGGGCCCGCGGCGCGUUAGCUAGUUGGUAAGGUAAUGUCUUACCAAGGCAACGAUGCGUAGCCGACCUGAGAGGGUGAUCAGCCACACUGGGACUGAGACACGGCCCAGACUCCUACGGGAGGCAGCAGUAGGGAAUCUUCCGCAAUGGACGAAAGUCUGACGGAGCAACGCCGCGUGAGUGAUGAAGGUUUUCGGAUCGUAAAGCUCUGUUGUUAGGGAAGAACAAGUGCCGUUUGAAUAAGGCGGCACCUUGACGGUACCUAACCAGAAAGCCACGGCUAACUACGUGCCAGCCGCCGCCGUAAUAC
rnacentral:rRNA from 1 species